GACCGAAUGGCGUAGUGGUUAGUGACCCGAUGGUCCCGGGUUCGAUUCCCGGCUGGGGCA
rnacentral:tRNA from 1 species